GACGAACGCUGGCGGCGUGCUUAACACAUGCAAGUCAUGGGGGAGUAGCAAUACUCAACCGGCGAACGGGUGCGUAACACGUGAGUGACCUGCCUGGAAAUGGGGGAUAGCCGGCCCAACGGCCGGGUAAUACCGCAUACGCUCUUUGGGGGGCAUACCCUGGAGAGGAAACCAGCAAUGGGUUUUCAGAGGGGCUCGCGGCCUAUCAGCUAGUUGGCGGGGUGAUGGCCCACCAAGGCGACGACGGGUAGCUGGUCCGAGAGGAUGGCCAGCCACAUUGGGACUGAGAGACGGCCCAGACUCCUACGGGAGGCAGCAGUGGGGAAUCUUGCGCAAUGGCCGAAAGGCUGACGCAGCGACGCCGCGUGUGGGAGGAAGCUCUUCGGGGUGUAAACCACUGUUGCCCGGGACGAACAUUCUCUUUCGAGGGAACUGACGGUACCGGGUGAGGAAGCACCGGCUAACUCUGUGC
rnacentral:rRNA from 1 species